rnacentral:misc_RNA from 1 species
GCAAACUUGGUCAUUUAGAGGAAGUAAAAGUCGUAACAAGGUCUCCGUUGGUGAACCAGCGGAGGGAUCAUUACAGGGUCUUCGACUGCCCAAAAAACAACUGUGAACUCUUUUCCCUUUCUACCAGACUGCGGCGGGUGGCUCGCUGGAGGAGCCGCCAAAAGCCCGCCGGAGUCGCUGCUGAAGCUGUUGCGCCCCGACAUUCUUCAGGCUCGAUAGCGGCCCCUGCUUAGGCGGGGCUAAAAUUCAGUCACAACCCAUAACAAUGGAUCUCUUGGCUCCGGCAUCGAUGAAGAACGCAGC